UUUGAUCCUGGCUCAGAUUGAACGCUGGCGGCAUGCCUUACACAUGCAAGUCGAACGGCAGCGCGGGGCAACCUGGCGGCGAGUGGCGAACGGGUGAGUAAUAUAUCGGAACGUACCCUGGAGUGGGGGAUAACGUAGCGAAAGUUACGCUAAUACCGCAUACGAUCUACGGAUGAAAGUGGGGGAUCGCAAGACCUCAUGCUCCUGGAGCGGCCGAUAUCUGAUUAGCUAGUUGGUAGGGUAAAAGCCUACCAAGGCAUCGAUCAGUAGCUGGUCUGAGAGGACGACCAGCCACACUGGAACUGAGACACGGUCCAGACUCCUACGGGAGGCAGCAGUGGGGAAUUUUGGACAAUGGGCGCAAGCCUGAUCCAGCAAUGCCGCGUGAGUGAAGAAGGCCUUCGGGUUGUAAAGCUCUUUUGUCAGGGAAGAAACGGGUUUUUCUAAUACAGAGAUCUAAUGACGGUACCUGAAGAAUAAGCACCGGCUAACUACGUG
rnacentral:rRNA from 1 species